rnacentral:misc_RNA from 1 species
GAUAUGCGAUAAGUAAUGUGAAUUGCAGAAUUCAGUGAAUCAUCGAAUCUUUGAACGCACAUUGCGCCCGCCAGUAUUCUGGCGGGCAUGCCUGUUCGAGCGUCAUUACAACCCUCAGGCCCCCGGGCCUGGCGUUGGGGAUCGGCGGAAGCCCCCUGCGGGCACAACGCCGUCCCCCAAAUACAGUGGCGGUCCCGCCGCAGCUUCCAUUGCGUAGUAGCUAACACCUCGCAACUGGAGAGCGGCGCGGCCACGCCGUAAAACACCCAACUUCUGAAUGUUGACCUCGAAUCAGGUAGGAAUACCCGCUGAACUUAAGC